rnacentral:tRNA from 1 species
UCCCUGGAGGACUAGUGGUUAGGCCUCGGUGCUUUCACCGCUGCAGCCGGGGUUCGAUUAAAGACCAGGGAA